CCUUUGUGUACCUACCUCUGUUGCUUUGGCGGGCCGCGGUCCUCCGCGGCCGCCCCCCUCCCCGGGGGGGUGGCCAGCGCCCGCCAGAGGACCAUCAAACUCCAGUCAGUAAACGAUGCAGUCUGAAAAACAUUUAAUAAACUAAAACUUUCAACAACGGAUCUCUUGGUUCUGGCAUCGAUGAAGAACGCAGCGAAAUGCGAUAAGUAAUGUGAAUUGCAGAAUUCAGUGAAUCAUCGAAUCUUUGAACGCACAUUGCGCCCUUUGGUAUUCCGAAGGGCAUGCCUGUUCGAGCGUCAUUACAACCCUCAAGCUCUGCUUGGUAUUGGGCACCGUCCUUUGCGGGCGCGCCUCAAAGACCUCGGCGGUGGCGUCUUGCCUCAAGCGUAGUAGAACAUACAUCUCGCUUCGGAGCGCAGGGCGUCGCCCGCCGGACGAACCUUCUGAACUUUCUCAAGGUUGACCUCGGAUCAGGUAGGGAUACCCGCUGAACUUAAGCAUAUCAAUAAGCGGAGGA
rnacentral:rRNA from 1 species